rnacentral:rRNA from 1 species
AACGUAGGGGGCGAGCGUUAUCCGGAAUCACUGGGCGUAAAGGGCGUCUAGGCGGUCCAGUAAGUCCUGCGUGAAAGCUCCCGGCUCAACUGGGAGAGCGCGUGGGAGACUGUUGGGCUAGAGGCUCGGAGAGGGGUGUGGAAUUCCCGGUGGAGUGGUGAAAUGCGUUGAGAUCGGGAGGAACACCAGUGGCGAAGGCGGCACCCUGGCCGAGUUCUGACGCUGAAGCGCGACAGCGUGGGGAGCAAACGGG